rfam:Nippostrongylus brasiliensis genome assembly, scaffold: NBR_scaffold0000312
UCAACGUGUACGGUUAAGCCAUGCAUGUCGAGAGAAACUGUGAAUAACUCAUUAGAACAGAUGUCACUUAUUCGGAUAGUCAUCUUGGACAACUGCGGAGCUCAUAUGUACAUGCAAUGGAGCCCUGACGCUCAAAAGGAUGCCUUUAUUGGUGCAAAACAGUCAUAUUCGGAUGUUGUUUGCUGACUCUCAAUGAAGCAGUACAUCGUCGGCUAGUUCGCUGAUAUUCCGAUGGAGUGUCCAUCAACCCGAUGGGUGUCUAUUAGUCUACCAUGCUUAUCACAGGUAACGGAGAAUAGGGGUUCGACAGCGGAGAGAGAGCUUUAGAAACGAACUGCUACUACUACCUCCACAAGUAAGGCAGCAGCCGCGGAACAUACCCAAUAUUGAGUAGAUGAGAUAGUGCCAAAAAAUAAGAAGUCCAUCUACGAAACUGGUCAACGCCGACACAUUUACCAUUACCUUUUUGUUCCCAUGGAGCGGUCAUUCCAACGAGGGGAUCAGAAACCUGUUUUCUAUGAUAAAGUGUAGGGCUACAUUGGCGCUAGUAGCGAUAAUUCCAGCUCCAAUA